AUUGAACGCUGGCGGCAGGCCUAACACAUGCAGUCAACGAGCAGGGGCGGAUGGGUGAGUAACGCGUUGGUAACCUGCCCUUAAGUCUGGUAUACCAUUUGGAAACAGAUGCUAAUACCGGAUACUAAAGGAUGGCCCUGCGAGGCAGUAGCUAGUUGGUAAGGUAACGGCUUAACAAGGCGAUGAUGUAUAGCCGAGGUGGGAGACUGAUAGGCCACCUGGGGACGGAGCCAGGGCCCAAACGCCUACGGGAGGUAGCAGACGGGAAUCUUGCACAAUGGACGAAAGUUUGAUGGAGCAAGGGCGCGUGAGUGAAGAAGGUUUUCGGAUCGUAAAGCUCUGUUGUUGGUGAAGCGGUAAUCACCCAGAAAGUAACGGCUAACUACGUGCCAGCAGCCGCGGUAAUAC
rnacentral:rRNA from 1 species